rnacentral:tRNA from 1 species
GGGCUCUUGGCACAGGGGUAGCGCGCACGCUUCGCACUUUAGCUUGCGUGAGGUCGUGGGUUCAAUUCCCACAGUGUCCA